rnacentral:rRNA from 1 species
AGCAGCCGCGGUAAUUCCAGCUCCAAUAGCGUAUAUUAAAGUUGUUGCAGUUAAAAAGUUCGUAGUUGAAUUUCGGGGUCAGUAGGUUGGUCGUGCCACCGGUACGUACUGGUUUCACUGAUUCCUCCUUCCUGAAGAACCGUAAUGCCAUUAAUUUGGUGUUGCGGGGAAACAGGACUGUUACUUUGAAAAAUUAGAGUGUUUAAAGCAGGCUAACGCUUGAAUACAUUAGCAUGGAAUAAUGAAAUAGGACGAUCGAUCCUAUUUUGUUGGUUUCUAGGAUUGACGUAAUGAUUAAUAGGGAUAGUUGGGGGCAUUAGUAUUCAAUUGUCAGAGGUGAAAUUCUUGGAUUUAUUGAAGACUAACUACUGCGAAAGCAUUUGCCAAGGAUGUUUUCACUAAUCAAGAACGAAAGUUAGGGAUCGAAGACGAUCAGAUACCGUCGUAGUCUUAACCAUGAACUAUGCCGACUAGGGAUCGGAUGGUGUUAAUUUUAUAA